rnacentral:rRNA from 1 species
UAAUACCGGAUAGAUCACGGAUACUGGAAUGUUCCUUGAUCCAAAGCUCCGGCGUCCAAGGAUGGAUCUGCGACCUAUCAGGUAGUAGUGGGUGUAACGUACCUACUAGCCUACAACGGGUACGGGUUGUGAGAGCAAGCGCCCGGAGGUGGAUUCUGACACAUGAAUCCAUGCCCUGACGGAUGCAGCAGGCGCGGAAACUUUACAAUGCAGAAAACUGCGAUUAGGGGUACCCCGAGUGCCCGCGUCUAAUUUGGCUGUCCAGCUGUGUAAAUAGCUUGUUAGCAAGGGCCGGGCAAGACCGAUGCCCAGCCGCCGCAGUAACACCGGCGGCCCGAGUGGUAACCGAUUUUAUUGUGUUUAAAGGGCCCGUAGCCGACCUAUUAAAGUCUCUUGGGAAAUCUGGCGGCUUAAUCGUCAGGCGUUC